UACGUAGGGUGCGAGCGUUACUCGGAAUUACUGGGCGUAAAGCGUGCGCAGGCGGUUUUGUAAGUCAGAUGUGAAAGCCCCGGGCUUAACCUGGGAAUGGCAUUUGGGACUGCAAGGCUCGAGUGCGGCAGAGGAGACUGGAAUUCCUGGUGUAGCAGUGAAAUGCGUAGAUAUCAGGAGGAACACCGAUGGCGAAGGCAGGUCUCUGGGCUGACACUGACGCUCAUGCACGAAAGCGUGGGGAGCAAACAGG
rnacentral:rRNA from 1 species